AUGGCAGGCGGUGACGUUCCUCUUCUUCGACUACAUCGAUUGAAGUUGAAGGCAUCGAGAUCUGGUGACCACGGGGAAGAUCCCUGGCCUACGUGCCACAAAGACUCGGUCUCGUCGCUUGCGACGACCCACUUCACCGGCUCGAAAAGCAUCUUUGUAUGCAGUGGUGCUCUCCUAUAUCUUGGUAUGGCGGCUGUUUUUAUCUUUUUCCGGCAUUGACAUGGUGGCGGCGGAGGAAUUUGUGGACUAUGUUUCGGCGAGGCACGAGUUUCUGCAAGAGUGGAAUAGUAGUUUUACCUCUUGUGGAAUUCUUUAUGCAAAGUUGCUUGA
rnacentral:rRNA from 1 species